UUUAUGGAGAGUUUGAUCCUGGCUCAGGAUGAACGCUGGCGGCGUGCCUAAUACAUGCAAGUCGAGCGAACAGACGAGGAGCUUGCUCCUCUGACGUUAGCGGCGGACGGGUGAGUAACACGUGGAUAACCUACCUAUAAGACUGGGAUAACUUCGGGAAACCGGAGCUAAUACCGAAUAAUAUAUUGAACCGCAUGGUUCAAUAGUGAAAGACGGUUUUGCUGUCACUUAUAGAUGGAUCCGCGCCGCAUUAGCUAGUUGGUAGGGUAACGGCUUACCAAGGCGACGAUGCGUAGCCGACCUGAGAGGGUGAUCGGCCACACUGGAACUGAGACACGGUCCAGACUCCUACGGGAGGCAGCAGUAGGGAAUCUUCCGCAAUGGGCGAAAGCCUGACGG
rnacentral:rRNA from 1 species